GACAGAGGGUGCAAACGUUGUUCGGAAUUACUGGGCGUAAAGCGCGUGUAGGCGGCCAAGCAGGUCGGAUGUGAAAUCCCUCGGCUCAACCAAGGAAGUGCAUUCGAAACCGCAUGGCUGGAGUCCCGGAGAGGAAGGUGGAAUUCUCGGUGUAGAGGUGAAAUUCGUAGAUAUCGAGAGGAACACCGGUGGCGAAAGCGGCCUUCUGGAUGAGGACUGACGCUGAGACGCGAAAGCGUGGGGAGCAAACAGG
rnacentral:rRNA from 1 species